AAGUCGUAACAAGGUUUCCGUAGGUGAACCUGCGGAAGGAUCAUUAUCGAGUUUUUGAACGGGUUGUAGCUGACCUCUCACGAGGUAUCGUGCACGCCUGGCUCAUUCCACUCUCAACCUCUGUGCACCUUUUGUAGGAAGACGGUGGACGAGGCCUUCGAAAGUCGGCCUUCGAAGCCUUUCUUACGUUUUUAUCACAAACGCUUCAGUUAAAGAAUGUCUGUCUGCGGAUAACGCAUCUAUAUACAACUUUCAGCAACGGAUCUCUUGGCUCUC
rnacentral:misc_RNA from 1 species